rnacentral:rRNA from 1 species
UACGUAGGGUGCAAGCGUUGUCCGGAAUUAUUGGGCGUAAAGAGCUCGUAGGCGGUUUGUCGCGUCUGCUGUGAAAACCCGAGGCUCAACCUCGGGCCUGCAGUGGGUACGGGCAGACUAGAGUGCGGUAGGGGAGAUUGGAAUUCCUGGUGUAGCGGUGGAAUGCGCAGAUAUCAGGAGGAACACCAAUGGCGAAGGCGGCUCUCUGGGGCCGAUACUGACGCUGAGGAGCGAAAGCGUGGGGGAGCGAACAGG